rnacentral:rRNA from 1 species
AUGUCAUAUGUUGAGUAUCUAUGUCUGUUUCUGUGGAUAGUAGGUUCCCCUCAAUCUGUUAGACAAGCAGAAAACAGAUUUGUUAGGUCAUUGGAGACAAUUGUAAGGAAGUUUGAUAAGGUUUUGGCCUGUCUGAUCAAGCUAGCAAAAGACAUCAUCAGGCCAAUAGAUCGUCAAUUCAGAACUGUGCAUUCAAAAUUAAGAUCUAGAAAGUAUGCACCAUUUAUGGACAAUUGCAUUGGUGCAAUAGAUGGGACACACAUACAAGUUGUGGUACCACUUGCCACUGCUGCCCAACAUAGGAAUAGACAUAAGGAGAAGAGUCAGAAUGUGAUGGUGUGUGACUUUGAUAUGAGAUUCACAUUUGUCCUAGCUGGUUGGCCAGGAUCAGUGCAUGACAUGAGGGUCUUCAAUGAUGCCCGAUCCAGAUUUGGUGACAAGUUUCCAAAACCACCACCUAAUAAGUUCUAUCUUGUGGACUCAGGGUACCCAAAUAGACUAGGUUAUCUUGCACCAUACAAGGGUUUAACCUAUCAUUUCCAGGAGUACCGUGAUGGCACAAUGCCUAGAGGAAAAAAGGAACACUUCAAUUUCACCCAUUCUUCACUUAGAAAUGUCAUCGAGAGGUGUUUUGGAGUCCUGAAGAACAAGUGGAGAAUUUUGUUUCACUUGCCUAGUUAUCCACAACAGAAACAAAGCAAAAUCAUUGUGGCUUGCAUUGCACUGCACAAUUUUAUUAGACAAAGUCAACUACCUGAUAUAGAGUUCGACAAGUGUGAUCAAGAUGAAAACUAUGUACCAUUGUCUAUGCCAACGACUACAACAAAUGAUUCAACAAAUGAGAUGGACAGUGCUGCUAUGAAUCAAUUCAGAGCUUGGGUCGCUGAUGGGUUGUGGUCCUUGAAACAACAAUGA